GACGGACGCUGGCGGCGUGCUUCAUACAUGCAAGUCGAACGAGAAGCUGACUUCGGUCAGUGGAAAGUGGCGGACGGGUGAGUAAUAUGUAGGAAAUCUGCCUUUAGGAGGGGGACAACAGAGGGAAACUUCUGCUAAUACCCCAUAUGAGCGUAGCUGAAAUGCUAUUCUUGAAAACUCCGGUGCCUAAAGAUGAGCCUGCAUCUGAUUAGCUAGUUGGUAGUGUAAUGGACUACCAAGGCGACGAUCAGUAGCUGGUUUGAGAGGAUGAUCAGCCACAAUGGGACUGAGACACGGCCCAUACUCCUACGGGAGGCAGCAGUAGGGAAUGUUGCGCAAUGGGCGAAAGCCUGACGCAGCAACGCCGCGUGAACGAUUAAGCCCUUCGGGGUGUAAAGUUCUGUCAGUGGGGACGAAACUUGACGGUACCCACAGAGGAAGCACCGGCUAACUCCGUG
rnacentral:rRNA from 1 species